CCAUCAGAUGUGCCCAGAUGGGAUUAGCUAGUAGGUGGGGUAACGGCUCACCUAGGCGACGAUCCCUAGCUGGUCUGAGAGGAUGACCAGCCACACUGGAACUGAGACACGGUCCAGACUCCUACGGGAGGCAGCAGUGGGGAAUAUUGCACAAUGGG
rnacentral:rRNA from 1 species